CUACGUGCCAGCAGCCGCGGUAAUACGGAAGGUCCGGGCGUUAUCCGGAUUUAUUGGGUUUAAAGGGAGCGUAGGCCGGAGAUUAAGUGUGUUGUGAAAUGUAGACGCUCAACGUCUGACUUGCAGCGCAUACUGGUUUCCUUGAGUACGCACAACGUUGGCGGAAUUCGUCGUGUAGCGGUGAAAUGCUUAGAUAUGACGAAGAACUCCGAUUGCGAAGGCAGCUGACGGGAGCGCAACUGACGCUUAAGCUCGAAGGUGCGGGUAUCGAACAGGAUUAGAUACCCUGGUAGUCCGCACAGUAAACGAUGGAUGCCCGCUGUUAGCGCCUGGCGUUAGCGGCUAAGCGAAAGCAUUAAGCAUCCCACCUGGGGAGUACGCCGGCAACGGUGAAACUCAAAGGAAUUGACGGGGGCCCGCACAAGCGGAGGAACAUGUGGUUUAAUUCGAUGAUACGCGAGGAACCUUACCCGGGCUUGAAUUGCAGAGGAAGGAUUUAGAGAUA
rnacentral:rRNA from 1 species